GUAACCGCAAGCCGCGGGGUCGCUCGGCCGCGGCGGCGGGUCCCGAGGAAGCGGGGUGGAGCGGGAAGAAGAUCAGAGAGGAACAGGCUGGCGAAAGGGCGGGAAUUUCUAACUAAUGCAGUAAAUGAAGGAAGGGUUCACCCUGGCAACACAAUAGCUUCAUCCAACUCAGAUCCGUCUUCCAAAUGAAGUGAUAAAAAAAACAAUAGGAGAUCAUGUCAUUCCAGCUGGCCUGACCAAUCAAUGGAGUCUCACCCAGGAGGACCAGGAUGGCUCUGAAAAAACCUACCGUGGGUUGACAUCAUCAGAUGCUACCACAGCACAAUGUGCCUGCUCCAGGCAGUGUGGUCCAGGAGUUUGAGUAGCAGACUUGUGUUCUAAUCCUGAGUCCAGCGGUGAUGCAGUGGAACAUGGAGGAUCACACGGUCCAGACUUCCCAGCCUUUCAUCCAGUUGCAUCUGGAUGGGAUACUGAGAACUCCAUAGUGCCUUCUAUGAUACGUCCUUUUGCAUACUAAACACCCAGAAUGUGUACUGAACAACUCCAGCAAGCUGGUGAAACGCAUUAAACUGCUGAUUUUGCAAAGGACAUGGUUUCUGUGCACCAGAGGGUAACCUGCCAUUGCAGUCUGCACUGUGGAGAAAACAAUGCUAUUAGCAGAAGACGUUUUAUCUGCAUUGAGAGAGUGGCUGCAAUUUAGAAUUUGGUUUUGCAGCUUAAAAGAAUAAAGCAUUUACAAGAACAUUUGUUCUUCUUUUCAGAAUGCAAUCAUAACUUUAAACUGCAAAAGGAGUAAAGCCAUUAAAGAAACAGUUUCUUCUGUGUCAGAAGGUUAAGUGUGUAACAGCUUGCCAUUGUUUUUUCAUUUCGUGUCUGUUGAGAUAUUUGAUAUGUAAGUUGUGGGUGGUUUUUUUUUUUUAUACCUCCUUUCUAUAUUUUAAAAUUAGAAUUGCUUUGGGAAACGAUCCAACUGCUUCCCAUUUCAGAAAACCAGCUUUCAUCAACUCAAACUGACUAAAUUAGAUGGGUGAAUUAGGGUUCCUUGCUUGUUGGUCUACCAUUAAUGCUCAGGGAGAUGUGAAAUGCUCUAGUUCAAACCAACUUUCUCAUUCUUCUGUUAUUUAAAUAAUUCGCAUUUCAGAUAAUCUGCACUGUUACAAUGGAUUGAAAUGUUAUUAUGAUGGAUGUUUCAAAACACUUUCAAGAGCAUGAUGUAGCUCCUACCAGCACCGUGGUAGUUUAAAAACAUCACUCAAACGAGGAGUACACGAAAGAACAGAUUUUUUUACCCAAGGAAUUUCUGGAUGCUCUCUGUGCAUCGACUGGCUCUGAUUAAGCAAAACUGUGGCUUAAGGGAUAUAUUUAACUGCUUUUAGACAAUGAGCAAGUGUCCUUGGGUAUGCAAGGAAGGAUGGCGGUCAAAUCGUGGGAUUAGCAGCUCUUGUUAUGUCAAAGUAGGUUUCACAGAGCUUUGUAGGACUGUAGCGAGGCCUCUGGCUCAGACAUCGGCCUGACUCUCAAUAAGUUAUAUGACAUUGAUAAAUGCUUUUCAAUUUCUGGCGCAUCAAGAGUUUCCAGAAGAUGACCCUGAAUAAAUAUUCCACCAAUGUGAAAUUCCCAUGUCUUCCACUAACUACUCUUAUGCAUAGCACCUGAGAUAAGGCAGUUCUCUUCACUUGAGGGAUCCUUGUUCUCCAUAGACAUGCUCCUUGGUGCCACAAAGGGCCCAACACUGUUUCCUCUGAUUCAAAAAGGGGUAAAAAUGGUUUGGGGCAGAGCUUGUAAAUAACAAAGGUAUUAGACAGCAAGUCCAUGUCUUAAAUGCCUGUGCCAUUUUUACAUGAGAACAUAUAAGUUAAUGGAUCUUUCGGGCUACAUGGAAACUCAUACUAAAAUCUGAUCUUUAAUUCUCAGAUCUCACCAAAGUUAUGCAUGCGAGUCUCCCUUUGGCUCUUGUGUGACCAUUGAGGUUUGAAGGUUUUUAGGGGAGUGAAGACUUCAUAAACCUAGAAGGAUUGAAUUUAUUAAGCUCACUGACAGUCAUAAAUCAUCUGCUCAAGGUAUGAAGUAUGCAUAAAUUUGUUCCCUGCUGUCUGCAUCUGUUUGCUAAUUCUCUCCAAUCAGAACAACUCUAGGAACUCUCAGGAGUUUGAUGCUCGGACAGUCAUUGGGUAGGUGAGAGAGAGAACUGCAUAUGUUAGAAACAGACUCUUGCUGAAAAAUGCUCAUGAAAUCUAGGCCAGGAUCCUGUGUGACAGCAGCAGUUAUGGAGUAAUCCGUCUGCAGGGAAAGUUUACCUCUGAAGCUCCAUUAGUUAAUGUGAGGCUUGCACUCACAGAUAACGUGAGCUCAUUUCUCUUCUAGAACUGAGGGAUUUUUCGGUUGGUUUCAGAAUCUUUUCUGCCACAGCUCUCAUUGCUCUUGUAACCUACAUGUAUUUCUAGUCAUUUUAGGAUUAUGUCUUUUUUUUUCUUUCUUACUGCUCAUAUUCCUCUCUCUUGUGGGUUGAGAUUUGCCCUUUCCUCUCCCAGAUUUGGGUACUUGCACACAAAUGUGAAUGCGUAUUUUAAUUGUCACAGAAAUGUGUAUUGAUUAGGGCGUCCCUCCACAAACAUCUACUGAGAUGCAAUCCCCAUUCUGAAGAAGCUACAAUCUAAAGAAUAAAGGGCAAGGGAUAGAAGGGGGAACAGGUGUCCACCUUGCUUUAGGUUACACAGUAGGUUAAUAGUAGAGCUGGGAAUAAACCCAGGUGUUUUAGUGGCACCCUAUCCAUUACAACAACUUGCUUCAUACCUUGCAGACCUAACCUAGCCCUUAGAUGGGACAUGUUUGUACAGAUGUUAUUCUGUGAUCAGCUUUGUGAACGGAAUCUCUGAAUGCUGACUUUUUUACCCUUUGUAGGUGUGCAUGAGGUAUUUACUAUGAAAACAAUACAAUUUUAAUGGUAAAAACCCCAAACCUUUCACCAGCAGAUAAUUAUCUUAUUGCAGGCAGGUCAUGAAGGAGUGAACUCUGGCCCAGAAUCUAAAUAGCAUCUAACCAUGAGAAGCUAUUCUUCAAACAGGAAUCCCGGAAUGAGCAGUUGCAUUAAAUCAGUAGGAAUGAAUUAUUCAUCAGCUCUGAUUUAACAUUCAUCCUGACACUGAGGCUAAAGCAAGCCAUAUAUUUGCUGGUAAAAAUAACGAUUUGCAUUACAGUGGAUAAUAAUGCAAAUUAUUAUUGUUAUUUUGUUAUUGUUAACCAACAAUAUUGUUACUCUGCUAAAAUAACUUUACCUGCACAGAGGAGCCUUUAUCUCUUGAUACUUUGAAAUCCUGUGGGACCUAAUGGUAGUUCCUAAUGUUAGGGUUUUCUAUUUUACAUAUACAGUAUUUGAAAUUCUAUCUUUGCUUUUAGCAUAACAUGAAAAGGGCAAAAUAACAGAGUACUUUUUAGAUCAUAAUAUAUUAGAAUAGUUAAUCUUGCAUUACAUUUUUGAUUGUAUGCUGAGCAAUCCUUUAUGAUUUCUACUCUAUCUUUCCCAUUCAUUUUUCAGUACCCCUCUUCCCCAUGCAGUGCACACAAUGCAUUCAGUAUCUCUCCGUUUCUGUCACAAAUGUUACAAAUUACUUUCUUUGACUUUUUUCCUUUGUUUUUGCAUGGAAGUUGAAUACAUUGACUUCUGAGGAUAAUAACCUACAAUGUGCAACUCCGUCUGGAAUACUGAAUAUAUGAAUCAAUAUCACAGGCUGCUGGUAUUAAUUAUUUCAACAAAGUCUCCCUGCCCUAUGCUGCCGCUUUCAUUCUAUUAUGUGUUGUUUAGUAUACAAUAGUCAUAUGGGAAGGUGGAAAUGUUAGUUAUGUAAUCUAAAGAGCAAAUUCUGUUUACUGCCACAAUGACUUGAUCAAUGCUAUUUCAGUACAGUGCAUAGGGUCAAAUUUUUGCUAGUACAAACUCCCAUUAGUCUUGAUUCCAAAAGUUGUGGAGGUGACUUCAAUGGAUAUUGUAGAUGCUUACCAGCACACUGAAUUUUGGUCCCUUGACUGGAAUGGGAUCUCUUUCAGCUUGGGUCUGCAUUAGCAUCUCCAGGGACCAUAUGCUGUGGUCCCCAAACAGGCCUGUUCAGUCUCUACCCAGUUUUUUUGUACAUCCUGUGGACUGCCACAACACUAAUAAAAAAGUGUCUACUUCUGGAGUGGGACACUGUAGCCACUCCACCCCACCAACACAAAACAGGUUUAGAUAAGGAAACUUCUAAUUAUACUUAAAUUGACCCAACUGGAAAAUGGCCAGGAUGCUCUGGUUAGCAUUGCUGCAUUGACUAAAAAGUGCAUGGCAGGGGUUUUAAUGAGCAAUGUGGCCAAGCCCUCACUUUUCUAUCUCCCUGGGAAGAAUAUUAUGUAGUGCCAGUGAGGCAGGCCCACUGGUUGCCUUUGGCAAUGCUUCAAGCAAAGACUCACCUCCAAAAUAGUUGCACAGAUUUUGUUUCCUUUUUUAAUUUUGCCUGUAUGUAGCUCUGUGCAGAAUAAGGUGUGAAAGGCAGGAACACCACUCCAAUGGAAAACUGACAUGAAUUAUCAACCUCCUUAACUACUUAUUACCCCUGGAUCUUGACAGAGAAGCCUGGAACAGAUUGCACAGAUAAUGCGUUCUCUGAUGCUAUUACUGUUCUAAGUGUAGCACCGUGGCUUUUGUUUUUAAAAGCUGUCAGCCAGAAGAGACACAAAUAUUGAUAUGCAUAUGAUAUCAAGAAGCAGCUGCCUCUCUUGAUUUAGUACAGGAGGGAUUCUCCUUUAAAAAAAAAAUCAACGCUUCUAAGGAGAGUCACCCAUCACCUGAGCAGGGAGAGUCGAAGCUUGCUAUUCCAUGGAGUCCUGUUGACAAAUUUGGUACGCAGGGAGCUAGAAAAUCCUUUUGAAUAAUGAUGUGUGAGUGAGAGAAAUGCAGAUGCUCCUAUGAAAUAAAGGAUAUAGAACAGCCCUAAUAAGGGAGGCCACAGGUUCAAGGGGCUUCCCUCUUGGGUGUCAAAGUCCAUGUAGCUGGCUCUAGACUGUCCACUAUAUCUACGCUCAGUUCCAUAAGGGGAAUUACUAGGAAGGCUGUGGUUGGAUCUGGAGUUACAUUGGAUACAGUAGCAUUCAAUAUAUAAUUAAGUUAUUCUGGGGCUAAGGACCAGGGAAGCAGAGCUUAGCCGAAUAUUGGGAACUGGCUCCCAGUAUUUCAGAUGAUCUAAAUCACCCGAAGCUCUUGGAAAACUUAAAACUGUACAAGCUCAGGGCAUCUCUUUAUGUGCUUAAGGAUUAUUUUGUUGACUGAAAUGUGUUCAUUGCCUCUGAUGUCUUUUCACCUAGUAUAAUAGGUUUAUCAUCCUUGCACUGAGUUUGCAACAGCAUGCUGGGAGACUUCUCUUUCUGUUAUCUACAAUUAUGCAUUAAUUCUAGGUCAUGUAUUGCAUUUUGUACUAUGUUCUUUCAGAGAUAAGUGUUUUUUUCUGACUACUGUGGAUGUUUAAUCUCAUUUAAGGACUUCAGGAUUUGACCACAAUGCAAUUUCAACAUGGUCAAUAUCUUAAAAGCUCAUCAUGAUUUUCAUCCUUACCUACCCUUAUCUGAAGUGUAUUAAACAACCAUUGUUAUA